UACAUAGGUGGCAGGCGUUGUCCGGAAUAACUGGGCGUAAAGAGAGCGUAGGCGGUGGAUCAAGUUGAUUGUGAAAUCCCGUGGCUUAACCACGGAACUGCAGUCAAAACUGGUUUACUAGAGUUCGGAAGAGGAAGGUGGAAUUCCUAGUGUAGCGGUGGAAUGCGUAGAUAUUAGGAGGAACAUCGGAGGCGAAGGCGGCCUUCUGGGACGAAACUGACGCUGAGGCCCGAAAGUAUGGGGAGCAAAC
rnacentral:rRNA from 1 species